GAUGAACGCUAGCUACAGGCUUAACACAUGCAAGUCGAGGGGCAGCGCAGUGUAGCAAUACAUGGGCGGCGACCGGCGCACGGGUGCGUAACGCGUAUCCAACCUUCCCGUUACUCAGGGAUUAGCCUUCCUUGGAGUAGAUUCAAUGAUGAAAGAUUUAUCGGUUAUGGAUGGGGAUGCGUAAGAUUAGGUAGUAGGCGGGGUAACGGCCCACCUAGCCGACGAUCUUUAGGGGUUCUGAGAGGAAGGUCCCCCACACUGGUACUGAGACACGGUCCAGACUCCUACGGGAGGCAGCAGUGAGGAAUAUUGGUCAAUGGUCGGAAGACUGAACCAGCCAAGUCGCGUGAGGGAAGACGGCCCUACGGGUUGUAAACCUCUUUAGUCGGGGAGCAAAAAGGAUCACGCGUGGUCCAUUGAGCGUACCCGAAGAAUAAGCAUCGGCUAACUCCGUG
rnacentral:rRNA from 1 species